UUUUUCAUCAUCUUCAUAUUCCUCACCCGUGUUGACACUCCCAGCACAUAGGCGACUUCUGUUAGGGUCACCAGCUGCUGGAAGAACAGCCAUGGGCCUAUCUGGUCUACCGACCUGCAAUACUUGUACUCUGUUCUGCCUUCCUGGUUCACCGUUUCCAUUGUCCUGACCAAUGUUGUCCUCUGGUCUUGGCAAGAGGAAGUCUGUCAAACCAAGCGCCCAACCAACACCAGUGAACCAGUAACGUAGAAGGGACUUAAUUGAGGUCUGGAAUCUGAAAUGUUUGAUAACAAAUGGUAUGCAUAUUUGUAACAGAAGCAUGUCGGCUGGAAUCUCAGUGAAUGGGUCGGAUACACUGCAUAGAUGCACAAGUUAGGAAAGACCUCAAACACAAAAUCUCCAAAAACAAGAGGUUAGUCAAUAUUUCUUACGAUAUGUCGAGUGGAAAGAUUGAAGGAGCCAUCCGGAUCGCAAGUUUGACUGGCAAAAAUACCAGCAUGACAAUCAAACUUCCAUACACUGCAGUUUCUAACAGAACCUUCCGAGCUUGCUUGUGUACUGGAUCAUCAAUCAUAUCUUGGAACGGAUCGACAUUAGGAUCUUCAAGAUAAUCAAGGAAAUACAAAACUCCAGGUCGAAGAACCUGCAAUUGGCACAGAAGUGAAAAAAUAUUAGGUAGUACAGAGAAAAAACUGUUUCCAUAAUGAAAUUAUGAUCAAGGAAAACACAGUACCUCUCGAAGAAGGCUUUCGAAGAUCAUUGUAAACAUGAGGUACAUGAAUCCAACAACCCAAUGAAGAAGUGAGCUUACCAAUGGAGAAGUUGAUAAAAACUGUACUCUGUGGGACAUUGUUUUACCAAACAUCCCAACCGUGCAAAUAUCUAGCGACCACCCACACAUCAGAGGGAAGACCCCUAAGAAGUAGACAUAAAAACAGGUAGCUUUGAGCAUAGUCAUCAGAUGCCUCAUUGCUGCCGAGAACUGUUUAAGGAGGGAUGAUACAGCUUCUUCUUCACCAUCAGCGUCGUCCAAACCAUGAAAACUCUGUUCAACCUGAGCCUCGAUACGAACUGCUUGUAUGCCCAACCUUUCAAGAACAUUUUCAGGGUUCCUAUUAACAAUCUGACCAACCGCAGCACCCUGAUCCCCAGCAUCUUCGCAAUUCUCCUCUCCCGCAAGAUUCCUAUUAGCCUGUCCAGCAGGUCUUCUGACAGCACGAGCACCAUUUCUGUCCACUUCAUCGUCUCUCUCUUCUUGCCCCCUUAGCUCUCGCAAACGCCUAAAGAUCACCUUUAGUAUAAUUACUCCAAAGUAAAAGAAGUAAAUUGUUGCCGACAGUAAGAACCCAUGCAAACAAUCAGUGAGAAUUACUGUGGUGGAGAUGUGACUUAAGAACAACCGCUGAGCUUCACCAAAACUCCGUACAAAAGCCAAUCGCCAUACCCAAAAUGUGAUAUAAGGAAUAGUGAUAAACCAGGCCGAAAUCAGGAAGCUCAACCGCAGAAAGAAGUGUAAAACACCGAAAAGUUUCGUGGCAAUGGCAACUACAAACUCCUGGAAAGGGAGCCUUGUUGGAGCAUUUUCAGCAUACACUGGGGAGAAUGAAAAAGGAUGUUUGCAAACCUGCAGAGAUAUAGUGAGCAAUAAGCUUCAAUCACUCUAUUAAACUCAAAUAAUCUGGAUUCAUGAACUCCAAUAAUAAGGAUGAGUUCCAUUCUAGGUAAAACUACGACCUAUAAGAAACAUUUAUAGAAAGAGCACUUCAAACUCUGCAAUAUAGUCUUAUUGAAGCUCACUACCUAUGACCAAAUCGUAGAGAGACAAACUGAGAAGGUUACCUAAAACCAUAAAAAAAACACAGAUAAAGCAAAUCUUCUAUAAGGGAGAGACAAAACCUCGCAGUGACGAGCUUUGCAGUGAUUAAGCCACUGAAGGAGGCAAUCCUGGUGAACAAAUUUGAUGCUCCCGCGGCAGGUGCACGGAUACCGAAGCGGAUUGUCCGUAUCCCCAGGAAUUCUGCAAAUCCUGCACAAGUCCUCCUCAUCUUCAACUGCCACCGUAGCAAAUGCGUGAUCCAUGGUGGAGAAAGCGGUGGAAGAGGCCUGAUUCGGCGACGAAGCAGACAGGCGCGAGGAGGAUGACGAAGAAGAUACCGAAGGCUCCGAGACGACCUCAGAGGCGGUUGCGCCAGAGAUGGACAACGAUUCGGCGGAGGAAAUCUCCAUGGAGAACUAGGAACAACGUAGCGAGCUUCAACUCGGUGCAGCGAGUCAACUCAGUGACUCGGAUUACGCCGACCCACGGUGAUAUUGAGGAGAAGGGUCACACUAAGCUCCCGCCAAUUCACAACGCCGAGCUAAAAGGGUCGGUCUAUCGCAGUUUAUUGUUAUCCGACUAAAUUGAUUAUAUGGUAGGACUAGACCGGGACUUGUAAACCGGUAAUUGACGAAAUUAAUUUUGGUUAAUAAUAGCCUAAGUUCAUCACUAAUGUUCAUAAAUUAUCUUUUUCUGUGUUCCUCUUAUUUUUAUAUCGUUGGAAAAGAAAAAACCAAAACAAUAUCAAUGAAUAUGAUCACACAUCGCCAAAUAAAUCUUCAAAUUAAAGACUUACGUGCACUAACAUAAGAGGUAAGAAUUUGCAAUUCGCGAUGGUUAUAAUAGAAACACACAAGGCAUACAUAUGGACAAACGAAGCAUUAUUCUAAAGAUGUUUUAGUUUAGUACACAAAGAAAAAGAAGAGAAUCAUCAACGGAUAUAAUAAUUUACACAUCGACUAAUAAAAUAAAAUCUUUCAAAGCCAUCUCUUAACGGCUUAAGUACACAACUGUUAAACGCCUCAGUGCACAGUUUCCAACUGAGUUUGACAAAAUACCUAAGCUUCUUGUUGGAUUGCACGUCUGAGCCUAAGUCCAUUAUCAACAUCUCCCUCACGUCCUAUCAGGACACCAUCUCCUGCAUCCUCACUACUUUGGUUUUGGUUUUGAUUUGCCAAAGCAGCUUCCCCAAAGUUAUGCAGUCUCCGACCAAUGAGAUAACGGUCAUCACGGAUAGAGUUGUGAAGGUUUCUGAACCAGACAUGGCAUCUUUUUGCACAGAAGCAAAAGAGGCUCACUGAGAGACAACCUAUCCAUGCGUAUCUGUAGACCGCUGAGUUCACUACUAGCGGAUAUCCGAGCAUUGGGAACACUCCUCUCGCCAGGACAUAAGGCACACAUAAAGCCGUUAGGAGUUUCAUCACGAUCGGAAACACAAUCUCUCUAAGUACCCAUAACCCUUGAAGCCUCGAGAAGCCAUCUUCUCUUACCCGCUCAAACUUUGCUCUCCAGCUAUCAUCCACUAUUGGAAGCAUAUGAUCCAGCAUUACCUGUCCAUUGACGUUGCUUUUUAGUGACAAAAUAUCUUCUUAAGCGGGAAAAGUAUUUGAUUUUUGGAGAAAAUUACUUACCAGUCUAGUCCAGAUCUUCAAAAAGAUGAGCCCAAGAGCCCAGUCUUGAUACAGGAGGAAGACAGGGCUUUCAUCAACUGGGACUCUCAUUGGGACAAUAACCAAAAGCUCAAACAGAAGUCCAAUUAGCACCGGAAUGAUAAAAACCUGUUUAAUCACCAUUUUAAAAGCACAGAGUCCAGAAUUAGUAGAGUUUGGAGUAUCUCAAAAAUUGAAAAUAUAACAGCAAAAACCACUUACCCAUAUGGCUAACAGCACCGAGCUCUUGAAAACAAUCCCACACCAUUUCCAUAUUUGGUUAAGCAAGACUGAAGUCCUCUUUGACUUGACAUGCUCAAUAGCAUACCUGGCCCCAGAUAUGGUAGUCCAAAAGGCAUAUGUACCAAUGACGAAAGCAUACAGGUCUACAUAUUUUUAAGGGAUUCUGUUAAUAAUGAGUAACCGUGUGAAAGAAUGACGCAGAAGAUCAAAAUUAACAAACAUUACCAUUGCAUUUGAUGCCAUGAGUUAUUGGAAGAAUUGGGAUGGCACUGAAUAGAGCACGUCCAAGCGAAACUGGUACAACUAUCAAUGCUGAAUUGAAGAGAAGAAGAGUCACCCAUGCAACAAGUAGAAGGAGGAUUAUUCUGACGACAAAGUUGUACCUGCUAAGAAAAUACGUUCAUAUCAGGGGAAGACCUAAUGGAAAUCUUGACAUACUUAGUCAAGUCUAUAUACCAAGCGAACAGUCCUGUUAAUUAGUUCAAGCAUGCAAAAAAAUCUUACUAUCAAAAAAGAUUUUAGCUUAUUUCGUAAGUAAGAACUUACUCUGAAUCAGAUUGUUCUUCAUCAUCUUCAUAUUCCUCACCCGUGUUGACAUUCCCAGCACGGAGGCGACUUCUGUUAGGGUCAUCAGCUACUGGGAGCGCAGCCAUGGCCAUGUCAGGUCCUCCCACCUGCAAUACUUGUGCUCUGUUCUGCCUUCCUGGUUCACCAUUUCCAUUGUCCUGACCAAUGUUGUCCUCUGGUCUUGGCAAGAGGAAGUCUGUCAAACCAAGUGCCCAGCCAACACCAGUGAACCAGCAGCGUAGAAGGGACUUAAUUGUGGUCCGAAGUCUGAAAUGCUCGAUGAUAAAUGGAAUGC
rnacentral:lncRNA from 1 species